AUGAAACAUUGGAUUACUCCAGGAUCAGUGUGCUAUCAUCUGCAAGAAAUAUACAGGCUGAUUGGAUUGCACAGAACUUUUCAAGGUUCCAUAUGGAAAGGGCUGUGAAAACAUGGAAAGAUGAAAGGACCUGGGCCAAAUGGAGCAUCUACAAUACCCAGGACAGUUGUCACGCCAAUUCUGCCUGGUGCUGAGCAUCCUCUGGUCCUGCUGCAGGUGUUUCCAUUUGCAGGUGUUCAGCCACAUGCUGGGGUCCUUGGGCAGGACAUAUUGCAAAGUCCCCAACUGCACAAUCACUUAACUGCAGGUGAGAAUGGCUUCCAGAAAUAGACCAGAACAGACACCAGACACUCCUCUGAAAUCCUCCAUGGCUGCAAGUAGACACUGAAGCCCAAGGAGUUGAAUUGAUCAUUGGAAUGGCUGAUGCUCAAACAUAGAGUCUUCCUGAGAUCCAACCUAGUGCCAGAAUACACCGCAGGACUGACAUCCUGAAACCUGGGGUCAGACCACCUGUAAUGCCCCAAAGAACUACUGGGCAGAGAGGAGCAAUGCUAGUUUCUGUCCCCUUUUCCCUCCAGGCCAUCUCCAGCAGAAACAAGACAUUGGAACAUCAUGUGUUUUGGGAGUGACCAGGUUACCUCCCCCUGCACUGAGCUUUGGUGGCAGCCAAAGUGGCACACAUGUUCAUGGCGUUUUGUUUGGGUCUGACUGAGCCUGCAGGCUCCUGAGGGAGAGUCUUGUCUCUUCACAUUUUGUGCCAAGCACACUGUCAGAGAAAACCAGGAAAAACUGGCCCCAAAUAGGCUGAAGGUAGUGGAGUUGCAAAAUCUGGCACCUGAGAAAGAUGCAUGGGGAGGAUGAUGCAGAAUCCUGGCCCGUUUUCUACUGAUUUCCUAAAAUUCUCACCAUCUUCUCUGUUUGUUUGUUUCACUUCGUUAAUUAUGAAAACAAACUGAAAUGAGCAGAUGCCUGGAUCUGCUCCCAGCUUUCUCUUUGCAGAUGCUAUCAAGAGGAGCACUGUGGAAGCCAAGGAAUAAAGAAAGACUUUGAUGCCCCUGGAGUGCAUUGUGAGAGUGUAUGUCUGUGUUCAGACACGUACCCGAGCAACAGGAGAAGACAAAAUCACCCAUCCCAUCCCUGAGCUUGCACUAAACUCUAUUGAAUUACACAUGCAUUUGUCUUCUCAUUGUAAUUUCAUGGCACUGGCUGUUUGCUCUGAUUUUGCCUCUUGUUAGUAGCUUGCCUCCUGUGGGAGAUUUUUGUUCAGUCUGAGAUCCCUUAUCACAAACACCUGAUAUUCAUCUUAUUUUGCCUUUCUUGUCUCAAUGAAAUCAGCAAUUCCAAAUACAUUCAAAUGUUCUUCAUCCUCACAAUGCCUUUGAGGGAUGUAGGAUGUGUUACAGACAAAUUAAAAUAAUCAGCAUAUACAAUGUCUUGGCUUACAUAGCCACCUUUUCUACUGAGCCCCAUGUGCAAGGAAAUAAACUCCAGAUAUUGUAAACUGCUGAAAAACAACAGGUAACAUUGUGUUUGCCAAAUUAAAUAUUCAAAGAAGUGCUGCAUUAGAGCUUUCCCAGUCCAUUGCUGCCCUAUCUGAACUCAAAAUCCAAACAACUACAUGAAAGAAGUCCCAGCAAAUUUAAUUAAUCCUGAAGAUUUCCUCCCUGACAGUCUGUGGAAAAGCUGCCUCUUGGGCUGUGGUGGGAAAAAUCUUCAUCUAAUCAAAUUGUUACUGAUGGAUGUUUGGGUGAAUGGCCUCUUCCUUUCUUUGUGGGACUGCUCUCAUCUCAUGGCUCACAAGCAGAAAGAAUGGAGAACUGCACUAGCAAAGCAACAGAAUUCCUCUGAGUGUUUUUAAUGAGACAGAGCUGGACCAAACCCCCAGUUUACAGCUGCUAAGGAUUUUUCCAUUGUGGGACUCCAAGCCUGUGAGAAAGGUACAUUGCCCCUUUUUGCAACACAGAAAGGCAGCUUGACCUUGUGUCUGAGCAAAGCUAAACAUUUCCAAAGACUUUGAAUUCUUCCUCUCACUGAGUCCAAAUACUAUCUCAACCAAGUCUCUUUCCCUACCAUCAGACAUACUCAUGCAGGUGUUUAAAGUGAGUCAUUUCAGCUACUCAUCACCAUGACGUGGUGGCAUAUGGAAGUCAGUGAGGGGCUUGGCUAAAUUAAUGAGAAACUUUUCAGCCUCUGCAAACUUUUAUUUUGCUGUGUUUUGCACUAUUUAUUACUCGUGACUAUGGCAUGAGCUCAUGCAGAGCUGCAAGAACCACCUUUAUUUACAAAGCAAAUAGAUUUUGGGUUAACCCCCUUCCUAAAAUCCUCAAAGAGCUUGGAGCUUAGUCUACUUCAUACCUUCCUGAGCUCUCAGCCCCCCAGAUUUCCAUGCAAUCCCUGUUUCUUGGGGCUGGCAGUCUGCCAAGCCCAAGAUGGGUAAAUAUGCAUCCUUUUGAGUGCUGUCUGACCGUACCAGUUGGACUUGGCUGUUAUAUUACACCUCUCAGGCUGGAUUUUGUCUGUCUGGCUGGGAAACUGUGGGUAGCAUUUCCUUAAAAGUACGGAAGGAAUCUGGGUAGAAAUGGGAUAAAGGGAGGGACAGAGAAUAGAGGUUGACCUGCUUUCCCUCAUUCUGAUAAAGGUCCCUGCUCAGCACUGAGAGAGGGGGACUUGCUCUGAAAUACUUUCUCAUUGUUGUGUGACACGACCAGUUCCAUCAUUCUUGGGCCAAAUAGGAAACAGAUGGUCACUGUGCUGAAAACAGGUCCUGCAGCCUCUUCCCUCACUCACUCACUGCUUGGCAUUACACUUGUUGACUUAGCAUGGGCAGCACAGUGCUCUGUCUGCUCCAGGAGGAGAUUCUUGACCAUCCCAUAUUCCAUUUCACCCAACCUUGUGCCUGGUGACAGCCUUAAAGCUCACCCUGACCUUGCUGAAAUUAAUGGGGUUCACUUCCUUAGCCCAGGGGACUUUUGGAUCUGCUUCAGUGGUUCAAGUAAUAGGAUAUAAAAGAAAAGGCAGGUCAGACAACUGAGUUUUGCCCUAACUGCAUGCCAAAGGGAUUAUUUAUUGGUGUGCAGAAAGGAUCUCUGUGUGCAGACCCAGAGAACACCAGAGCCACACACUGGGAUCGGAAAGUUGAAAAGGACGUUAACAAGCACGAGUGUAAUUUAGUAUAAACAGCUUCAGCUUUUCUCAUCUCCCUGUCCUGAACUGGAACAUCUGAUAUGGCAACCUGGCUCCUCUAUCAUCCUCCCUGUUCCCCUCACCCUGUCCUGCCUGCUGGUGUUAUUCUGCUGCCUGGGGUGGCAGCAGUGUGUGUUUAGUUUUUCAGCCUUCCUGUGUUUAAAGUUCCCUGGGUGAUUUAUCAUCAUAUUUAUAAAUGAAGGGUUAAAUUCACUCUCUUUCAAUUUAAAUUGUAUGAUUCUCUUUCUGGCAAGCUCUCACUCAACUCUGGAUCAAACUGGCCAAAUAUGGUGUUUUUGUGCAU